ensembl:lncRNA
ACACCGAUUUUUGUCGUUGUUCUCUGUACUGACAGCACUCCAAAUUAAAAAAAAAACGAGCUUAAUGUUAAAAUUGACCGGAGUUCUCCAUUAAGGUUGCAGUGAUUCGUUCCCAGUUAACGUUAGUUACCGUAACGUUACUGUCCACUGUUUCUUUAGGAAAAUCAACAGAACUUUGACUGACAUCGAAAAACAUACUGCGCAACAACAUUCAUAUAAUGCAGGUCUAUGGUCACCACCUCAAAGAGCAUGCACAGAGAAGUCCAAAUUAAACAUGAUUUAAUGACUCGUAAAUCCACGUCCAAGUACUCUGAGGGCACGGGCGCUUCUGUCUGCGCAAGCGCCGGAAAGCCCCGGAAGUGAUCUCUCGCGCAUGUACUCCUGUCUAUCUAACAAGUUGUUGAUUUGGAUCCUUCCUAGGAAAGUGAUGAAGAUGUCCAAAGAGAAGAGCAGAGUGGAGAACCUUUCACAUUGGAGCAGGAAAGUGAUGAAGAUUCCCAAAGAGAAGAGCAGAGAGCAGAACCUUUAACAUUGGAGCAGG